GAGCAAAAGAUUUAUUUAUUAGAUAUUGUUACGUUGCUUUCCAUCAGUGGAAGUUCACGCAGAGCAGCACCAAGCAGUUUGAUUUCUAUCAAACUCUUCUGAGCGACAGCUUCAUUUAUUAGAUACAUAAUGUUACGUCAUUCUUUAUCAGU